rnacentral:rRNA from 1 species
GAUGAACGCUGGCGGCGUGCUUAACACAUGCAAGUCGCACGAGAACGCUUCAGCUUGCUGAGGCUAGUAAAGUGGCGCACGGGUGAGUAACGCGUGGGUAAUCUACCUCUAAAUUGGGGGAUAACACUGCGAAAGCGGUGCUAAUACCGAAUAACAUUCCUUGAACCACGGUUCGGGAAUCAAAGGUGGCCUCUACAUGUAAGCUACCGUUUGGAGAUGAGCCCGCGUACCAUUAGCUUGUUGGUGGGGUAACGGCCCACCAAGGCGACGAUGGUUAGCUGGUCUGAGAGGAUGAUCAGCCACACUGGAACUGACACACGGUCCAGACACCUACGGGUGGCUG